AUGAAGUUUUCGGAUGGAUUCCUGGUUGACUGAGUGGCGGACGGGUGAGUAACGCGUGGAUAACCUGCCCCACACUGGGGGAUAACAGUUAGAAAUGGCUGCUAAUACCGCAUAAGCGCACAGUACCGCAUGGUACGGUGUGAAAAACCCAGGUGGUGUGAGAUGGAUCCGCGUCUGAUUAGCCAGUUGGCGGGGUAACGGCCCACCAAAGCGACGAUCAGUAGCCGACCUGAGAGGGUGACCGGCCACAUUGGGACUGAGACACGGCCCAAACUCCUACGGGAGGCAGCAGUGGGGAAUAUUGCACAAUGGGCGAAAGCCUGAUGCAGCGACGCCGCGUGAGUGAAGAAGUAUCUCGGUAUGUAAAGCUCUAUCAGCAGGGAAGAAAAUGACGGUACCUGACUAAGAAGCCCCGGCUAACUACGUGCCAGCAGCCGCGGUAAUACGUAAGGGGCAAGCGUUAUCCGGAUUUACUGGGUGUAAAGGGAGCGUAGACGGCGACGCAAGUCUGGAGUGAAAGCCCGGGGCCCAACCCCGGGACUGCUUUGGAAACUGUGCUGCUGGAGUGCAGGAGAGGUAAGUGGAAUUCCUAGUGUAGCGGUGAAAUGCGUAGAUAUUAGGAGGAACACCAGUGGCGAAGGCGGCUUACUGGAC
rnacentral:rRNA from 1 species